ACCAUGUUGGACAAGCUGGUCUUGAAUUCUUGACCUCAAGUGAUCCGCCAGCCUCGGUUCCCCAAAGUGUUGGGAUUACAGGAGCGAGCCACCACGCCCAACCAACAAGUGCCCUUUAAAUACAUCCUCCCUUCUCUCUGCUUGCAGGCUUUGAUAUGCCCACCAUGUGACUUUUCGCCCCUUCCAAGAUUUCCAACCAAUCCCCUCCUUCCUGUUUCCCGUUGGGCUUUGGGGAAUGUACCAUAUGGACUCUGCGGGCAGACGGAGAGGACGAAAGGCGUGGCGACCGCUUAUUUCUUUGGCUUUUGCACGUAUCCCAUGAGAUUCUGGCAAGGCUGAGCGUGCAGGUAGCAGUGGGAUCCCUGAGGAUGGGAGCCAGUGCACUGAGAUCUCUCGCCUCCGAGGCUAGGGUCCUGUGGUCCGCCCGAGGGCCGCAACCCCCGCCCUUUCAUGUGCCUGCCUCGCCCCCGGCUGCGCCGAUGCUCCUGCUGCUGCUGCUGCUUACCGCGCCGGACGCCGGGGCUGCGGGACAGGGCGGCACUGGCCGGCUACUGGGACGCCGGCGCCUAGGGACACCGCAGCAUGAGGCAGAGGGAGUCGUCCAGCUCAAGGAUGCCUGGAGGACCUUACCCGACAACACUUAUGUUCACACAAAAUCCUGGACCUGA
rnacentral:lncRNA from 1 species